rnacentral:tRNA from 1 species
GGAGUUGUGGCUCAGUGGUAGAGAGCACUUGCCUAGCAUGUGUGAGGCAUUGUGUUCGAUCCUCAGCUCCA